AAAAAUCUUUUGUGUCUCCACCGACAACCAUCGAUCUCUUUCUAUCUGGUAUCCUUAUCAUCUCUUUCUAUCUGGUUUUGUAAACCUGAGUAAUCAAAUUCCAUUGUUAUGAUUCUUCAUCGUUUUAAUAGAAACGUACUUCAUCCAAAUUUAAAUUUAGAGCAUUUUCAUUCUGAGAAUUACAGAUCUAUUCCAAGUAAUCCAAUUGUUCCAGAUUGUAGGUUGUUCUAUCAUUUUUGGAUGAGUUUCGGUGAGGAUUGCGUCUAACACUAAAUUCAUCGAUUGAUUCUUACUUAUCAGAUGUGGCUUUCGUUUGAGGACUUUUGUUUUACAAUAUGAUGAGCGUGGCACCUUCAAUCCAAGCAAUUCAUGUUUACAGAUUUCCCCUUCAAUCUUUACUUGAACAAUCUAAGCGGUCCUAUCCCAUCAACUCUCGGCCGGCUUAAGAAACUCCGUUUCUUAUACGUAAUUGGUGGGGGAAAAUAUUUGGGUAU